rnacentral:rRNA from 1 species
ACCUGGUGGCGAGUGGCGAACGGGUGAGUAAAGCAUCGGAACGUGCCCUGGAGUGGGGAUAACGUAGCGAAAGUUACGCUAAUACCGCAUAUUCUGUGAGCAGGAAAGCAGGGGAUCGCAAGACCUUGCGCUCUGGGAGCGGCCGAUGUCGGAUUAGCUAGUUGGUGGGGUAAAGGCCUACCAAGGCGACGAUCCGUAGCGGGUCUGAGAGGAUGAUCCGCCACACUGGGACUGAGACACGGCCCAGACUCCUACGGGAGGCAGCAGUGGGGAAUUUUGGACAAUGGGCGCAAGCCUGAUCCAGCCAUGCCGCGUGAGUGAAGAAGGCCUUCGGGUUGUAAAGCUCUUUCGGCCGGGAAGAAAUCGCAUGGGUCAAUACCCUGUGUGGAUGACGGUACCGGAAUAAGAAGGCACCGGCUUAACUACGUGCCAGCUAGCCGCGGUAAUACGUAGGGU